rnacentral:rRNA from 1 species
UACGUAGGGAGCAAGCGUUAUCCGGAUUUACUGGGUGUAAAGGGAGCGUAGACGGCGAUGCAAGCCAGGAGUGAAAGCCCGGGGCCCAACCCCGGGACUGCUCUUGGAACUGUGCGGCUAGAGGUGCGGGAGGGGCAGGCGGAAUUCCUAGUGUAGCGGUGAAAUGCGUAGAGAUCGGGAGGAACACCAGUGGCGAAGGCGGCCUGCUGGGCUUUAACUGACGCUGAGGCACGGAAAGCAUGGGUAGCAAACAGGG